AUGGAAAGGAUCUUAUCACUUAGCUAUAAUGAUCUUACUCUCCAACUGAAGACCUGCCUACUGUAUUUAAGUAUGUAUCCGGAAGAUUAUGAGGUCCAAAUGGAAGAUUUGGUGAGGAGGUGGAUAGCGGAAAGAUUUGUUAAGGUUGAUGGUGGGAAAAAUUUAUUUGACACAGCAAAAGAUUAUUUCUAUGAACUGAUAAACAGAAACAUGAUCCAAGCAACAUAUAUCAACUAUGAUGGUCAAGCAAUGGCAUGCCGUGUGCAUGAUAUGAUCCGUGAUCUCAUUAUAUCCAAGGCAGUGGAAGAAAAUUUUAUCACUUCUAGUGGUCAUCAAACACAUAGCUUGGUCUCACAGCAUAAAAUUCGCCGACUCUCGAUUGACUACCGUGGCCUCGAAAAUGUGAAGACAGUGUCAUCCAUGGUCACUGCUCAUGUUCAAACCCUUGGCGUCUUUGGAUGUACUGAUCAAGUACCUCCCCUUUCUGAAUUUCCAACCCUGAGAAUGCUUGCUCUAGACAGGAGCGAGAAGUUGGAAAUUGGUUAUCUUAAAAAUAUAACAAAGUUGUGUCUGUUGAGGUACCUGCGGAUUGAAGGAAGCUGCAUUACAGAACUCCCUGAACAGAUCGGAGAUCUACAGUGUUUGGAGAUGCUGGAUUUAUAUGGUACUGGUAUAAGGGAAUUUCCAACAAGUAUUGUUCAGCUGCUGCAACUGAAACUGCUACUUGUUGAUGGCGCAAAAUUACCACAUGGCAUUGGGAACAUGCAAGGCCUAGAGGAACUGUCAUGCAUAACCGUAGACGACAGCACCUCAAUCAAUCUAUUGCAGGAGUUGGGAGGUUUGACUAGAAUGAGAAUUCUUGGCCUGAAGUUGUGCAUGAGCGCACAUAAGACAAGCACAAGAUAUGUGGAUAAAUUGGUUUCAUCGCUUGGCAGACUUGGUAGCUCUCAGCUUGAGCGUCUGUCCGUCAAAACGGAUGGUCGUUUGAUUGACAUUCCGUUUGGUUCGUGGUCCUCGCCUCCCUGUCUCCUGCAGGAACUAAUCACCUCUGAUUUGUGUCUCUGUCGGAUACCUGAUUGGAUGGCCUCAAUGGCCAACCUCACCUGCCUUCAAAUCGGCGUUAAUCAAGUGACGCAGGAGACCCUUCUCGUCCUUGGGGGUUUGCCUGUCUUGUUAUCUCUGACGCUGAACGCCUCACAAAAUGCUGAACCCAAACAAAGGCUCGUGGUCAGUAACAACAUAUUCCGAUGCCUGAAGCGGUUCCUCCUCUAUUGUGAGGUGGGUCUUCUGACGUUUGAAGCAGGAGCCAUGCCAAAACUAAAGCACUCGAAUUUCAGAUUGUGGCGCUCGAAGCGAAAUCUGCGUGCAUCGCUCCCGACCUUGGCAUCAGUCACCUCUGUGCCCUGA
rnacentral:rRNA from 1 species